rnacentral:rRNA from 1 species
AAUGCGCAGAUAAUCAGGAGGAACACCGAUGGCGAAAGCAGGUCUCUGGGCCGCAACUGACGCUGAGGAGCGAAGCAUGGGAGCGAACAGGAUUAGAUACCCUGGUAGUCCAUGCCGUAAACGUUGGGCACUAGGUGUGGGGCUCAUUCCACGAGUUCCGUGCCGCAGCAAACGCAUUAAGUGCCCCGCCUGGGGAGUACGGCCGCAAGGCUAAAACUCAAAGGAAUUGACGGGGGCCCGCACAAGCGGCGGAGCAUGCGGAUUAAUUCGAUGCAACGCGAAGAACCUUACCAAGGCUUGACAUGCACGAGAAGCCACCAGAGAUGGUGGUCUCUUUGGACACUCGUGCACAGGUGGUGCAUGGUUGUCGUCAGCUCGUGUCGUGAGAUGUUGGGUUAAGUCCCGCAACGAGCGCAACCCUCGUCCCAUGUUGCCAGCGGGUUAUGCCGGGGACUCAUGGGAGACUGCCGGGGUCAACUCGGAGGAAGGUGGGGAUGACGUCAAAUCAUCAUGCCCCUUAUGUCUUGGGCUUCACGCAUGCUACAAUGGCCGGUACAAAGGGCUGCGAUACCGUAAGGUGGAGCGAAUCCCAAAAAGCCGGUCUCAGUUCGGAUUGGGGUCUGCAACUCGACCCCAUGAAGUCGGAGUCGCUAGUAAUCGCAGAUCAGCAACGCUGCGGUGAAUACGUUCCCGGGCCUUGUACACACCGCCCGUCAAGUCACGAAAGUCGGUAACACCCGAAGCCCAUGGCCCAACCGUUCGCGGGGGGAGUGUCGAAGGUGGACCGGCAAAUUUCCC